GUUACUGCUGCAGACAUACAGUAGUAUGAGCCGGGUCCCCAAGGAUGGAAUAGCACACCCGUCUGCCGUCCUGAAGGGGUUAAACAGAUAGUGUCAAGAUCACAACAACUUUGUCUGUCACACAGAUGGUAUAGUAAGGUUUCUUAGUAUAUCAUUAUGCUUCAGACUGUUAUGUAGGCUUUAAAGCUUUCUUGUAAGUAAUAAUGUUUCCUUGUAUAUGCAAAUCUCGUUAAAACCCUGCAUCUAUGGAUUAUUGAACACUGGAAAACGAACUAUAUUACUAUGUGGGCUUGGUGAAAAUUAAC